CCUACGGGGGGCAGCAGUGAGGAAUAUUGGUCAAUGGGCGGGAGCCUGAACCAGCCAAGUCGCGUGAGGGAAGACGGUCCUAUGGAUUGUAAACUUCUUUAGGCGGGGAGCAAUGCCGGGCACGUGUGCCCGGAGGGAGAGUACCCGCAGAAUAAGCACCGCCUAAUUCCGUGCCAGCAGCCGCGGUAAUACGGAGGGUGCGAGCGUUAUCCGGGUUUUUUGGGUUUAAGGGGUGCGUAGGCUGUUUGGUAAGUCAGCGGUGAAAUGCCCCCGCUCAACGGGGUGAAGUGCCAUUGAUACUGCCUGGCUGGAAUGCGGAUGCGGUGGGAGGAAUGUGUGGUGUAGCGGUGAAAUGCAUAGAUAUCGCACAGAACACCGAUUGCGAAGGCAUCUCACGAAUCCGCGAUUGACGCUGAUGCACGAAAGCGUGGGUAUCAAACAGGAUUAGAUACCCUUGUAGUC
rnacentral:rRNA from 1 species